rnacentral:rRNA from 1 species
GAUGAACGUUGGCGGCGUGCCUAAUACAUGCGAGUCGAGCGAACGGACGAGAAGCUUGCUUCUCUGAUGUUAGCGGCGGACGGGUGAGUAACACGUGGAUAACCUACCUAUAAGACUGGGAUAACUUCGGGAAACCGUAGCUAAUACCGGAUAAUAUUUUGAACCGCAUGGUUCAAAAGUGAAAGACGGUCUUGCUGUCACUUAUAGAUGGAUCCGCGCUGCAUUAGCUAGUUGGUAAGGUAACGGCUUACCAAGGCAACGAUGCAUAGCCGACCUGAGAGGGUGAUCGGCCACACUGGAACUGAGACACGGUCCAGACUCCUACGGGAGGCAGCAGUAGGGAAUCUUCCGCAAUGGGCGAAAGCCUGACGGAGCAACGCCGCGUGAGUGAUGAAGGUCUUCGGAUCGUAAAACUCUGUUAUUAGGGAAGAACAUAUGUGUAAGUAACUGUGCACAUCUUGACGGUACCUAAUCAGAAAGCCACGGCUAACUACGUG